GGGGUGAAAUUCCCCACUGGCGGUACAGUCCGCGAACUUCCUGCUUUCAGGAAGCCGACCCGGUGAAACUCCGGGACCAACAGUAUAGUCUGGAUGAAAGAAGAUG
rnacentral:ncRNA from 1 species